rnacentral:tRNA from 1 species
GCCUCGAUAGCUCAGCGGUAGAGCAUCCGACUGUUAAUCGGACGGUCGCAGGUUCAAAUCCUGCUCGGGGCG